AAAAAUUUAGUUAAACCUAUAACAUUAGUUUGUCAAUCUAAAGUAAGUAUUUAGUACUAAUUUUUA
rnacentral:tRNA from 1 species